rnacentral:rRNA from 1 species
AUUGAACGCUGGCGGCAGGCUUAACACAUGCAAGUCGAGCGAGCGGCGGACGGGUGAGUAAUGUCUGGGAAACUGCCUGAUGGAGGGGGAUAACUACUGGAAACGGUAGCUAAUACCGCAUACCAUCAGAUGGGCCCAGAUGGGAUAUGCUAGUAGGUGGGGUAAAGGCUCAACUAGGCGACGAUCCCUAGCGGGUCUGAGAGGAGGAGCAUCCACAUUGGAAAUGAGACACGGUCCAGACGCCUACGGGAGGCAGCAGUGGGGAAUAUUGCACAAUGGGCGCAAGCCUGAGGCAGCCAUGCCGCGUGUGUGAAGAAGGCCUUCGGGUUGUAAAGCACUUUCAGCGAGGAGGCGUUACUCGCAGAAGAAGCACCGGCUAACUCCGUUCCAGCAGCCGCGGUAAUUC